rnacentral:rRNA from 1 species
AUUGAACGCUGGCGGCAGGCUUAACACAUGCAAGUCGAACGAGUGGCGGACGGGUGAGUAAUGUCUGGGAAACUGCCUGAUGGAGGGGGAUAACUACUGGAAACGGUAGCUAAUACCGCAUACCAUCAGAUGUGCCCAGAUGGGAUUAGCUAGUAGGUGGGGUAACGGCUAACCAAGGCGACGAUCCCUAGCUGGUCGGAGAGGAUGACGAGCCACCCGGGAACUGAGACACGGUCCAGACUCCUACGCGAGGCAGCAGUGGGGAAUAUUGCACAAUGGGCGCAAGCCUGAUGCAGCCAUGCCGCGUGUAUGAAGAAGGCCUGCGGGUUGUAAAGUACUGUCAGCGGGGAGGCGUUACCCGCAGAAGAAGCACCGGCUAACUCCGUGCCAGCAGCCGCGGUAAUAC